AUAUGCCACGCCUUGUGCUAAGCGGGUAUUAUCUCAUUUCAUCCUCACAACAACCCUAUCAGGAAAAAACUAGCAUCCCUUCCAAUUACAGAUAAAGAAACCAAGGUUCUGUAAAGUUAAGUGGCUUGUUUGAGCCCCUGAGGGAGAAAGGGGCAGAGCUGGGGAUUGAAAGCAGAUUGACAGAGGACCAAGGCCCCAUGUGUUAUCACCACCUAUGGUCUCCUCUUUUCACAUUACCUGAUAUUCUACCCACAUGCACUAAUUUGAGGAGCAAAAUAAGUUGGGAUUGUUUUUUUAAUAAAGUUUUUUUAAAACAACUAGCUGGUAAUAAGUUAUUUAAUUUCCCCUCUGAAGACACCACAUGAGCCUUACCUAUGAUCCAGUGCUAACCCCAACAUGGUGCAUAAAAACUGGCCUCUUCACCCAACCCCCAGCACUUGCCUCUUCAGCUCUCCUCGCAUUUACCUCACCCUAGAAUCAGACCAAAGAAAGUCACGAGUGCAGCCUGAGGUAUUAGAAGGUAGAAUGGACCUAGCAGAAAGAGACAAGAACACAACGUGGGGGCAAAAAAGGCCUGUCCCGUUACCAACACCACCAGACCGACCAUACUGGCCUACCCCAAACUAGUGUUUUCAUUUCUCCUGACUGAUCAAGUCUCAUCUGUCUGCUUUUUGUCUAAAUGCAAGUGACAUUUAUAUCCAUCCCCUCCUUCUUUUAACCAUUUGUUCAUGUCUAUAUUUGAGUUUCUGGCAUCAUGCUAGGUUCUAAGGAUACAAAAAUGAAUGAGAUGCUAUCACCUGCUGUCAAGAAAUUCACAGCCUAGGGAGAGAGUGACAUAUGACCAGAGAGGGUCCAAUGUGGACAGAUAAUGAAGAAGGGAGUCAGCAGAGGAGAUUCUGAGAACACAAAGGAGAAGAGAGGCAGCAACCCAGCGUGGGUGGGGUGAGCUGAUCAGAGAAGGCCUCCUGGAGCAGUGCACCCAGAGCUGAUAUGGAGUUGGAAAGAUUAAAGGCUGGAUGGUGAUGAGCAGAUUUCAUCUUUCUGCCAAGAACAGAUUGACCCUGAGCAAGGAUAAAAAGGCCAGCCAUAAGGAGACAUGACAAAUACCAUUGAGUACUGCAGAGCAACUUGGCAGCUGCCCGAGGUAGAGCAUCUUGUUUACAUCACCACGCCAAGCCAGGAAGCAGAGUGAGGCUUUAGUCCCUGAGGCAUUAAGUCCUCACCCUGAUACCCCAAUCCAGGUCUAGCCACCUCUCUCCAGACAUAGUCCUGAGCAUAACAGCUGUGGAGAUCAGUUGCCUUUUCUGCGAAAUUGUCAUUAAACCAUGAGUAAUUUGGCACUAUUUUCUGCAUGAUUUGUCCUCUCUGAAAAUAAGCAGACUCAGGCUUGUGAAAAUGGAAAUUGAUUUACUUUCUAUCCUUCUUGAGCUCAUCUAUUUAAGGUCUACUUCUUCUGGGAUGUGCCAGGAGACUGCACUACUUUCAAGUGGUGGAAAUUUCUUAAAAAAAAAAAAAUAAAAAUAAGCUGAAGGAAACUUGGAAUGAGAAUGCACUUGGCUAAUUGGUUUGCCAUCUAGCACUACCUCUUUCUCUAAGCAGGGAGAAUCAAGCCGCUGUCUGCUUGAUGGGGCAGUGGCAGCCUCGUGUAACCUCUGUAGUUAUCUUCUGACUACUCAGCUGAAUCCACUGCAUUCUACAUAUCUUUCUUAUUUAACGUAGAGUAUGCAUUUAAAAAUAAUAUUUCUGUAAACCUUAUCAAGCAAAACAUGGCAUGACUCGAUGCCAAAUUAUAGUGAUGAUUAUUUUAAGAAGAAUCACAGCGCUUUGGCCCAGUUUUUGGAAAAUGUGAUUAAUAGCACUGCCAGUGCCUUCUAGUGAGCCAGCACCACAAACUAGCUAUUUGAUUUCAUAACACAGUGCUGUUGUGAUCACCAAAGCAACACUAUCCGUUUAGGUGCUGGAUUAGAAUCCAGGCGAGUCCGCAGUAUAGUCUUUACACUUCAUCAACUUCCACACAGGACAUAAAUUGUACUAAUAUAGUAAUAUACUGAAAUCUCAGACCAACUGUUUGUCAUCGGAUUAGAAUGUGAUGACACAGAAUAAAGAUGUGAGACAGAAUCUGUGCUGAGGUCUAAAUUCACAUUGGAAGUCUGGGAAGAGAAGACUGUUUAUAAAAUUAUAGCCCAGGAAUUGCUGCCAAAGUCGGCCUUUGGUGCAGCUGUAAGUCGGAUGGAAUCCACCUUCCUGACGUCAGACCCACCCACUGGAACACUGCUCCUCUGACUGGGGCUUCCCUGAAUGGAAACUACAUGUCAUACUGCAAAGUAAGUGCUGUCGUUCUGGAGCUGUCGGCACGAUUCGAUCUUUGUAGUGGGUUGAUUAUUUGUUCUUUUCCAUCCAGCAAAAAGGCUAUCAGCACACUUGUAGUUUUAGCAUUCAUAUUUUUCAUCCCCAAGUUCUGAGUUUUGCUCAAGCUGACAGAUUUCUUGAGUUCUACUCCCUAGGACCUUCACAUCUGAUGAUGGGGUGCUUUUUCAUUUUCUUUCCUUCUGUUUUGUAUUCUUCAAUUCACUUCUUCAUCUUCUCUUCCCAGGAAAUGAUGACCUCCUUUGUACAGAUUCUGCUACCAUAGACAAUGUGCAUUACCAUUUACAAAACCCAAGGAUACAUUUUGGUUUUCUAUUACUUAGAAAAAUUGGGGCCAUACGUAAAGACGCCAUGGAAUAGGUGUUUAUGCAGAAGGUUUGUCUGGACUAAAAACAAAAUGAAGUUUGAUGUCAUUAUUUAUACAUUUCAGAAGCUCCUAGAUUACUAUCUUAAAGGUUGUUUUUGUUUUUAAUAUAUGACAUUUGAAGUUUCAGUCACAGUGUAAAAAAUAUUUAAAUAAGUUUCAACUGGUUUGCCAGGGAAGCAGGAUGGUAAGGGCGGUAGGCAUAGGGCUAACCUAAGCUUCGGCUAAUUGCUUUAAUACACAUCACACAAGGUGAUCCUCAUAAAGGGUUAUAUUAUGAAUUCAAUUAUAUAAGUAAGAAAACUGGUGUUGAGAGAUGUGAAGUGACUUGUCCAAAGUUACCUCCUAUGCAGCAGAGUCUACAUGACUAGAAUCCAAGUCUUCUGGCUCAUUUUUGUUUGUAUAUAAUUUAUUUGCUUUUAUUUUUAAUUUUACAUAGAUAACUAUAUCACUAAGUAAUGUAUCAUUUAGGUUUCCAUGACAUGAUGUAAGUGUAGUCAUUCCACAUGUUACCGGCCUUUUUUUUUUUUUUUUUUUUUUUUUAAGAGAUGAGGUCUCAUUAUUUUGCCUAGGCUGGUCUUGAACUCCUGGGCUCAAGCAAUCCUUCCGCCUUGGUCUCCCAAAGUGCUGUGAUUAUAGGCUUGAGCCACUACACUCGGACCUGUUACUGACAAUUUUUUUUCUUUUUCUUUUUUGUUGUGCUCUGUCGCCCAGGCUGGAGUGCAGUGGUGGGAUCUCGGCUCACUGCAAGCUCCACCUCCUGGGUUCACGCCAUUCUCUUGCCUCAGCCUCCCAACUAGCUGGGACUACAGGUACCCGCCACCACGGCCGGCUAAUUUUUUUGUAUUUUUAGUAGAGACGGGGUUUCACCAUGUUAGCCAGGAUGGUCUCGAUCCCCUGACCUCAUGAUCUGCCCAUCUUGGCCUCCCAAAGUUCUGGGAUUACAGGCGUGAGCCACCGCUCCCAGCCAACAUUUUUUAAAAAACACUUUUUGAGGUAUAAUGGACAUACAAAAAGCUGUACAUAUUUAAAGUAUACAACUUGAGUUUAUGGGUAAGUAUAUACCCAUGUAACCAUUACCACAGUCAAUGUCAUAAACAUGUCCAUCACCUCUAAAAGCUUCCUCCCACCCUCUUUAUUAUUAUUGUUUAUUGUCAUAAGAACACUUGACAGAAGAUCUACCCUUUUAGCAAAUUUUUAAAUAUACCAUAUAGUAUUAUUAACUAUAGGCACUAUUCUGUACAGUAAUAUAUCUCUAGAACUCACUCAUCUUGCAUAACUGAAAAUUUGUACCCUUUGACCAUUACCUCUCUGUUUCUCCCUUCCCCUAGGCCCUGGAAACCAUAAUUCUCCUUUCUGCUUCUAUGAGUUUGCCUAUUUUCGAUUUCUCAUAUAAGUGAGACUGUGCAGUAUUUAUCCUCCUGUGUCUCACUUACUUCACUUAGCAUAACAUUCUCCAGAUUCAUCCAUGUCAUCACCAAUGGCAGUAUCUCUUUCUUUUAAGGUUGGAUAAUAUUCCAUUGUAUGUAUAGGCCACGUUUCCCUUAUCCUUUGAUCCAAUGAUAGACAUUUAGGUUGUUUCCACGUCUUGGUUAUUGUAAAUAAUGCUGAGAUGGACAUGGGAAGGCAGAUAUCUUUUCAAGACCUUGAUUUCACUUCUUUCGAUAUAUACCCAGAAAUGAGAUUGCUGGAUCGUAUGGUACCCCGAUUUUUUUUUUUUUUUUUUUUUUUUUUUACUUUUUAGGAAUUUCUGUACUGUUUUUCAUAGGGUCUGCAUUAAUCUACAUUUCCACUAACUGUGUACAAAGGUUCCCUUUUCUCCACACUGUCACCAAAAUUUGUUCUUUUCGUCUUUUUUAUAAUAGACCUUCUAACUGGUAUGAGAGGAUAUCGCACUGUGAUUUUGAUUUGCAUGUCUCUGAUGGUUAGUGACAUUGAGCACCUUUUAAUAUACCUGUUGGUCAUCUGUACCUCUUCUGUGGAGAAACAUCUAUUCAGUUCCUUUGCCCAUUAUUUUAAUUGGGUUAUUUGGGUUUUUGCUAAUGUGUUCUUCAUAUAUUUGGGGCAUUAACCCUUUAUCGGAUAUGGUUUGCAAAUAUUUUCUCCCAAUCUCUAGGUUAUCUUCUCAUUUUGUUGUUUGCUUUGCUGUGCAGAAACUUUUCAGUUUGAUGUAAUCCCACUUGUCAAUUUUUGCUUUUGCUCUCUGUGCUUUUAGUUGUCAUAUCAAAGAAAUCAUUGCCAAGGUCAAUGUCAAUAAGGCUUUUCCUUAUUUUUUCUGGGAGUUUUAUGGUUUCAGGACUCACAUUUAAGUCUUUAAUUCGUUUCAAGUUCAUUUUUGUGUAUUGUGUAAGGUAAGGGUCCAGUUUUAUUCUUUUGCAUGUGGAUAUCCAGUUUGCCCAAUUUCAGUUUUUGAAAAGUCUAUCUCUUUCCCAUUGCACAUUCUUGGCACCUUUGUCAAAUAUCAGUUAACCAUAUGUGCCUGUGUUUAUUUCUAGGCUCUUCUAACUGUUAAUUCAAAAUUCUACCUCCAAUAAAUCAUUUAUAUGUUAGAGCCUGGUACUUGGUUACAAACAAAAACAUCCAUAGAUUCAGGGCAGUGAAUUAGAAUUGCCUAGUCUCAACUACAUUUUUAGAAGUCAGUGAAUGUAACUUUUUCAUAUUGCACAAACUCUUAAUUGCUAUAGUCAAGCAGCUGAUAAUUAUGGAUUGGCUUGUUAAUAUUUAUUCCUAACCAUUUCUUGAGCAUCUGCUAUGUGCCAGGCUCUCUGCUAGCUUAUAAACCAUUAAUGAAUACAGUAUGCUUUGUAUUAAAGUAUCACCCCAGAUGCUUUAAAAUGAACUGAUUAUUCUAGCUGCUGAAAGAUUAUUACAAAUUGAUAAUUUGUUUUAUAAUUGAUUCUUGGUCUGCAGGAUCAGUGAAGAGACAGUCCACCACCAUAUAUACAUAAGUGUUCCACCAUUUAUUCCAAGGGUGGAGUAUCAAGAUGGGGAUCCUUUGUAAUAUCAGUGUUGAAAUAGAGUAGGAAAACCUAAAAUAGGAAACAAAUUCAUGAAAAUGCUAAGGAGAUAUAAUCAAAUCAUUAGGUUACAGCACACGUGUUUAGGGGUCAGGAGAUAUUGACUCUGAACAGUCAUGUGAGUCUGCAGGUCAAUUUUAAAUUGAGGAGAGCAGAAUUUUUUAUCUUUUUAUUUUUUAUUUUUUUUAGAGACAGGGUCUUGCUCUAUCACUCAGGCCAGAGUGUCAUGGAGCAAUUACAGCUCACUGCAGCAUUUAACUUCUGGACUCAAGGGAUCCUCCCAUCUCAGCCUUCCAAAUAGCUAAGACUACAGGCAUGCACCACCAUUUCCAGCUAAUUUUCAUUUUUAUUUUUUAUUUUUGUAGAGACAGGGUCUCACUAUGUUGCCCAGGCUGGUCUCAAAUUCCUUCUCAAGUGAUCCUCCCACCUCAACCUCCCAAAGUGCUGGGAUUGCAGGCAUGAGCCACUGCACCCAGCAGAAAUUCUUAACGAGGCAAGGCCAACAGAGGCCAUUCAUUCAACAUCACGGCACCAUAGUGGCCUCUUUUUAAGACUCCUCAGGCAAGUAGAACUUAUUUGUCUCAAAGACAUUGUAUCAUGAACCCAAUGUCUAAACUUUCACAUGUGUGUUUUGAAGGAUGUUUUUAAGGAAAGAAAAAUUUCUGUUGUAUAAAUUAUUAAAAUAAAAGUUGCUGUGGUGAUCUUUACUUUUGUUUCAUUCCCUGGAAUUAACCACGGGCUCAAGACGUUCCUCAAGAUGCUAUUGCCUUUAUAGAAUUCUUUUCUCCCCGAACUUCAGAUGCUCUUCUGCUAUAAUAAAUAUCCAUGACUUUUGGAUUUGGAAAGUCCAAAACUGUUAUCACAUGCCCUCUGUGUACUUAUAACAUGUACCUUUAAAGAUUUUCUCCUUAAACAAAUAGCUGUCUUUCACAUCACACUUUUACCCCAGCGUUUUCUGAUAUUAUUACUUGUAACUCUAAAGAGUUAUAAUUAUGGUGCCUGUCUCCUUAAAGGCAGCAGAGAUAGAAUAAUUUUCAUUUGUGAUGUUCCAAUACAUUAUUUUACCAAAGUCUUUGGCUAAUCUAAUUGCC
rnacentral:lncRNA from 1 species